rnacentral:tmRNA from 1 species
GGGGGCGUACUGGUUUCGACUGUUGGUUCGAGACGCAGGCGGCAUGUCGAGGAAGCCUGGUUGGCCUCGUUAAAAACCUGGGCAAAACAAAUAAACGCCAACGAUUACGAAGAUCUGGCUCUCGCGGCUUAAUUGACCGCGACGUUCCCGCAGCGACGCCUGCUAGCGGUGGGAGCGCACGACAGCAGGCUAGUCUGGCGGCGGAGUGACCGUGCCGCCAGGUGACUUCGCUUCGUGGACACUAGAGCGUCGGCUGCGCGCCGGCCCGCGACCCGGCGCUCGAAACUUAAAGGCCGGACAAACAUGUAGAUGCUUGCGGCGAAAGCCUUCAGGACAGGGGUUCAACUCCCCUCGCCUCCAA